rfam:Aedes albopictus isolate Foshan contig136810, whole genome shotgun sequence.
UAGCCUAGUGGUUAAGGCUAUGGAUCGCCAAUCCAGAGAUGGCGGGUUCGAUUCCCGU